rnacentral:rRNA from 1 species
GAUGAACGCUGGCGGCGUGCCUAAUACAUGCAAGUCGAGCGAACGGACGAUAAGCUUGCUUCUCUCAUGUUAGCGGCGGACGGGUGAGUAACACGUGUAUAACCUACCUAUAAGACUGGGAUCACUUCGGGACACCGGAUCUAAUACCGGAUGAUCUUUUGCACCGCAUGGUUCAAUAGUGAAAGACGGUCUUGCUGUCACUUCUCGCUGGAUCCGCGCUGCAUUAGCUAGUUGGUAAGGUAACGGCCUACCAAGGCAACGAUGCAUAGCCGACCUGUGAGAGGGGUCGGCCACCCUGGAAGUGAGACACGGUCCUGACGCCUACGGGACGCAGCAGUAGGGUAUCGUCCGCAGUGGGCGAGAGCCUGACGGAGCAACGCCGCGUGAGUGGUGACGGUCUUCGGAUCGUAAAACUCUGUUAUGAGGGAAAAACAGAUGUGUAAGUAACUGUGCACAUAUUGACGGUAACUAAUCAGAAAGCCACGGCUAACUACGUG